UGACUNGAGUGCAGAAGGGGAGAGUGGAAUUCCAUGUGUAGCGGUGAAAUGCGUAGAUAUAUGGAGGAACACCAGUGGCGAAAGCGGCUCUCUGGUCUGUCACUGACGCUGAGGCUCGAAAGCGUGGGUAGCGAACAGGAUUAGAUACCCUGGUAGUCCACGCCGUAAACGAUGAGUGCUAGGUGUUAGGCCCUUUCCGGGGCUUAGUGCCGGAGCUAACGCAAUAAGCACUCCGCCUGGGGAGUACGACCGCAAGGUUGAAACUCAAAGGAAUUGACGGGGGCCCGCACAAGCGGUGGAGCAUGUGGUUUAAUUCGAAGCAACGCGAAGAACCUUACCAGGUCUUGACAUCCCGAUGCUAUUCUUAGAGAUAGGAAGUUACUUCGGUACAUCGGAGACAGGUGGUGCAUGGUUGUCGUCAGCUCGUGUCGUGAGAUGUUGGGUUAAGUCCCGCAACGAGCGCAACCCUUAUUGUUAGUUGCCAUCAUUAAGUUGGGCACUCUAGCGAGACUGCCGGUAAUAAACCGGAGGAAGGUGGGGAUGACGUCAAAUCAUCAUGCCCCUUAUGACCUGGGCUACACACGUGCUACAAUGGUCGGUACAACGAGUUGCGAGCCGGUGACGGCAAGCUAAUCUCUGAAAGCCGAUCUCAGUUCGGAUUGGAGGCUGCAACUCGCCUCCAUGAAGUCGGAAUCGCUAGUAAUCGCGGAUCAGCACGCCGCGGUGAAUACGUUCCCGGGCCUUGUACACACCGCCCGUCACACCACGAGAGUUUGUAACACCCGAAGUCGGUGAGGUAACCUU
rnacentral:rRNA from 1 species